GGUGAUGUUGGUCACGUUGCCGUCCACGAGU
rnacentral:piRNA from 1 species